rnacentral:misc_RNA from 1 species
GAUGAAGAACGUAGCGAAAUGCGAUAAGUAAUGUGAAUUGCAGAAUUCAGUGAAUCAUCGAAUCUUUGAACGCACAUUGCGCCCGCCAGCAUUCUGGCGGGCAUGCCUGUUCGAGCGUCAUUUCAACCCUCGAGCCCCCCCGGGGGCCUCGGUGUUGGGGGACGGCACACCAGCCGCCCCCGAAAUGCAGUGGCGACCCCGCCGCAGCCUCCCCUGCGUAGUAGCACACACCUCGCACCGGAGCGCGGAGGCGGUCACGCCGUAAAACGCCCAACUUUCUUAGAGUUGACCUCGGAUCAGGUAGGAAUACCCGCUGAACUUAAGCAUAUCAAAGCGGAGGA